CCUACGGGAGGCUGCAGUGAGGAAUAUUGGUCAAUGGACGAGAGCCUGAACCAGCCAAGUAGCGUGAAGGAUGACUGCCCUAGGGGUUGUAAACUCCUUUUAUAAAGGAGUAAAGCGAGGCACGUGUGCCUUUUUCCCCGUACCUUACGAUUAAGGAUCGGCAAACUCGGUGACAGCAGCCGCGGUAAUACGGGGGAUCCGAGCGUUAUCCGGAUUUAUUGGGUUAAAGGGAGCGUAGAUGGGUGGUUAAGUCCGUUGGGAAAGUUGGUGGCUCAACCGUCAAAUUGCAAUUGAUACUGGCAGUCGUGAGUACAGUAGAGGUAGGCGGAAUUCGUGGUGUAGCGGUGAAAUGCUUAGAUAUCACGAAGAACCCCGAUUGCGAAGGCAGCUUACUAAACUGUAACUGACGUUGAUGCUCGAAAGUGUGGGUAUCAAACAGGAUUAGAUACCCGGGUAGUC
rnacentral:rRNA from 1 species